rnacentral:rRNA from 1 species
GACGAACGCUGGCGGCGUGCUUAACACAUGCAAGUCGAACGGAAAGGCCCUGCUUUUGUGGGGUGCUCGAGUGGCGAACGGGUGAGUAACACGUGAGUAACCUGCCCUUGACUUUGGGAUAACUUCAGGAAACUGGGGCUAAUACCGGAUAGGAGCUCCUGCUGCAUGGUGGGGGUUGGAAAGUUUCGGCGGUUGGGGAUGGACGCGCGGCUUAUCAGCUUGAUGGUGGGGUAGUGGCUUACCAAGGCUUUGACGGGUAGCCGGCCUGGGAGGGUGACCGGCCACAUUGGGACUGAGAUACGGCCCAGACUCCUACGGGAGGCAGCGGUGGAGAAGAGUGCACAAUGGGCGGAAGCCUGAUGCAGCAAAGCCGCGUGCGGGAUAACGGGCUUCGGGUUGGAAACCGCUUUCGCCUGUGACGAAGCGUGAGUGACGGUAAUGGGUAAAGAAGCACCGGCUAACUACGUG